GAUGAACGCUGACAGAAUGCUUAACACAUGCAAGUCUUUGGCGAAGCUGUGCUUGCACAGCCUAGCCAAGGCGGACGGGUGAGUAACGCGUAAGGAACUUGCCCUGCAGUCAGGGAUAACAGACGGAAACGACUGAUAAGACCUGGUAAAGUCAGGCGGACUCAUGUCCAGCCUGAUGAAAAGGGAUGCUGCAGGAGAGCCUUGCGUCCUAUUAGCUUGUUGGUGGGGUAACGGCCCACCAAGGCGAUGAUAGGUAGCCGGCCUGAGAGGGUGGACGGCCAGAAGGGGACUGAGAGACGGGCCUGACUCCCACGGUAGGCAGCAGUGGGGAAGAGUGGACAAUGGGGGGAACGCUGAUACAGAAAUAGUAGGUGCAAGAUGAAGGUUGUCGGAUGGUAAAGGGCUUUCAGCAGGGAAGAAAAAAACGACGGUACCUGCAGAAGAAGCGACGGCUAAAUACGUG
rnacentral:rRNA from 1 species